rnacentral:rRNA from 1 species
UACGUAGGGCGCAAGCGUUAUCCGGAAUUAUUGGGCGUAAAGAGCUCGUAGGCGGUUUGUCGCGUCUGCCGUGAAAGUCCGGGGCUCAACUCCGGAUCUGCGGUGGGUACGGGCAGACUAGGGUGCAGUAGGGGAGACUGGAAUUCCUGGUGUAGCGGUGAAAUGCGCAGAUAUCAGGAGGAACACCGAUGGCGAAGGCAGGUCUCUGGGCUGUAACUGACGCUGAGGAGCGAAAGCAUGGGGAGCGAACAGG